UGGGGAAUUUUGGACAAUGGGCGAAAGCCUGAUCCAGCAAUGCCGCGUGUGUGAAGAAGGCCUUCGGGUUGUAAAGCACUUUUGUCCGGAAAGAAAUCCUUGGCUCUAAUACAGUCGGGGGAUGACGGUACCGGAAGAAUAAGCACCGGCUAACUACGUGCCAGCAGCCGCGGUAAUACGUAGGGUGCAAGCGUUAAUCGGAAUUACUGGGCGUAAAGCGUGCGCAGGCGGUUUGCUAAGACCGAUGUGAAAUCCCCGGGCUCAACCUGGGAACUGCAUUGGUGACUGGCAGGCUAGAGUAUGGCAGAGGGGGGUAGAAUUCCACGUGUAGCAGUGAAAUGCGUAGAGAUGUGGAGGAAUACCGAUGGCGAAGGCAGCCCCCUGGGCCAAUACUGACGCUCACGCACGAAAGCGUGGGGAGCAAACAGGAUUAGAUACCCUGGUAGUCCACGCCCUAAAUGAUGUCAACUAGUUGUUGGGGAUUCAUUUUCCUUAGUAACGUAGCUAACGCGUGAAGUUGACCGCCUGGGGAGUACGGUCGCAAGAUUAAAACUUAAAUGAAUUGACGGGGUCAUAGCUGUUUCCU
rnacentral:rRNA from 1 species